rnacentral:tRNA from 1 species
GGCUUUGUAGCUCAACUCGGGAGAGCGCGAUCCUCGUAAGAUCGAGUGUGGGGGUUCGAGUCCCUCCGAAGCCU